GGCACUACGGUGCUGAAGCAACAAAUGCCCUGCUUCCAGGAAAAGCCUCUAAGCAUCAGGUAACAUCAAAUCGUACCCCAAACCGACACAGGUGGUCAGGUAGAGAAUACCAAGGCGCUUGAGAGAACUCGGGUGAAGGAACUAGGCAAAAUGGUGCCGUAACUUCGGGAGAAGGCACGCUGAUAUGUAGGUGAAGCGACUUGCUCGUGGAGCUGAAAUCAGUCGAAGAUACCAGCUGGCUGCAACUGUUUAUUAAAAACACAGCACUGUGCAAACACGAAAGUGGACGUAUACGGUGUGACGCCUGCCCGGUGCCGGAAGGUUAAUUGAUGGGGUCAGCGCAAGCGAAGCUCUUGAUCGAAGCCCCGGUAAACGGCGGCCGUAACUAUAACGGUCCUAAGGUAGCGAAAUUCCUUGUCGGGUAAGUUCCGACCUGCACGAAUGGCGUAAUGAUGGCCAGGCUGUCUCCACCCGAGACUCAGUGAAAUUGAACUCGCUGUGAAGAUGCAGUGUACCCGCGGCAAGACGGAAAGACCCCGUGAACCUUUACUAUAGCUUGACACUGAACAUUGAGCCUUGAUGUGUAGGAUAGGUGGGAGGCUUUGAAGUGUGGACGCCAGUCUGCAUGGAGCCGACCUUGAAAUACCACCCUUUAAUGUUUGAUGUUCUAACGUGGACCCGUAAUCCGGGUUGCGGACAGUGUCUGGUGGGUAGUUUGACUGGGGCGGUCUCCUCCUAAAGAGUAACGGAGGAGCACGAAGGUUGGCUAAUCCUGGUCGGACAUCAGGAGGUUAGUGCAAUGGCAUAAGCCAGCUUGACUGCGAGCGUGACGGCGCGAGCAGGUGCGAAAGCAGGUCAUAGUGAUCCGGUGGUUCUGAAUGGAAGGGCCAUCGCUCAACGGAUAAAAGGUACUCCGGGGAUAACAGGCUGAUACCGCCCAAGAGUUCAUAUCGACGGCGGUGUUUGGCACCUCGAUGUCGGCUCAUCACAUCCUGGGGCUGAAGUAGGUCCCAAGGGUAUGGCUGUUCGCCAUUUAAAGUGGUACGCGAGCUGGGUUUAGAACGUCGUGAGACAGUUCGGUCCCUAUCUGCCGUGGGCGCUGGAGAACUGAGGGGGGCUGCUCCUAGUACGAGAGGACCGGAGUGGACGCAUCACUGGUGUUCGGGUUGUCAUGCCAAUGGCACUGCCCGGUAGCUAAAUGCGGAAGAGAUAAGUGCUGAAAGCAUCUAAGCACGAAACUUGCCCCGAGAUGAGUUCUCCCUGACUCCUUGAGAGUCCUGAAGGAACGUUGAAGACGACGACGUUGAUAGGCCGGGUGUGUAAGCGCAGCGAUGCGUUGAGCUAACCGGUACUAAUGAACCGUGAGGCUUAACCUUACAACGCCGAAGCUGU
rnacentral:rRNA from 1 species